rnacentral:rRNA from 1 species
UACAGAGGGUGCAAGCGUUGUUCGGAAUUAUUGGGCGUAAAGCGCGUGUAGGCGGCAUGGCGAGUCGGGUGUGAAAGCCCUCAGCUUAACUGAGGAAGUGCGCCCGAAACUGCUUUGCUUGAGUGCCGGAGAGGAUGGCGGAAUUCCCCAAGUAGAGGUGAAAUUCGUAGAUAUGGGGAGGAACACCGGUGCGAAGGCGGCCAGUCUGGACGGUAACUGACGCUGAGACGCGAAAGCGUGGGGAGCAACA